CACAUUCUCAUCCGCACCUUGAACAGUCGUCGGAUGGCAUUGGAUUCUGUUUGGGACUUCCCUAGGGAGGGAGACCAGGUCCUUGAGGCCUCCGACUUAAGCCUGUAUCCUGGACCCGCCGCGGGGUGGGAAUAUGGUUUUCAGGCCAUGCUGUGUGAUGAAAGUAACGUUGGUAGGGACAUCUGAGAUUGCUGAUGAAUGCCAACGUCUCUGAUGCGGGGCCUGAGCCGAGCAAAGAUAUGGAACUCGAGAAAGCAGGAGCAUGUUAUUGGCUGACCUUAAAGUUAUACAUCAUGGAUGAAGUUGCUGUUUCUGAGGCUCCAAGGAAUUGCAAGCAUUACAGGCAAACAGCUCUAGGGACUUGACAACUGGAAGUAGAAAUGGUUUCUCAAGUCCAGAUGCCGUGGUGAUCACUUAAAAUUGGAUUAAAAUGCAUUGAUCUAUGGUUACUACUGAAUAAUGCCAUCUAUGCUGAGCCAAAGAUGAAUGAAGAAGCUGAAAAGCAUAAAAUGUCAAAGGGAUUGGAGAAAAGACAAAUUGAACAAAAAUCUGAGGAACCUACCAUGGAAGGAACACUUUGGAUGAAUCAUCCGAAAUGAAAGUGCCUGGCUUAAUAUUCCCAGUAAGGUUAGGAACUUCUGGAAUCUGAGAAGCUUGAAACAAAUGACCAAUAUGCUGUUAAGGUGUUCCCAACAGAAUUUUAAUAAAGUGAUAUACA